rnacentral:rRNA from 1 species
GUGCCAGCCGCCGCGGUAAUACGUAGGUGGCAAGCGUUGUCCGGAUUUACUGGGCGUAAAGGGAGCGUAGGUGGAUAUUUAAGUGGGAUGUGAAAUACUCGGGCUUAACCUGGGUGCUGCAUUCCAAACUGGAUAUCUAGAGUGCAGGAGAGGAAAGUAGAAUUCCUAGUGUAGCGGUGAAAUGCGUAGAGAUUAGGAAGAAUACCAGUGGCGAAGGCGACUUUCUGGACUGUAACUGACACUGAGGCUCGAAAGCGUGGGGAGCAAACAGGAUUAGAAACCCCGGUAGUCCAAU